CCUACGGGUGGCAGCAGUCGAGAAUCAUUCACAAUGGGCGAAACCCUGAUGGUGCGACGCCGCGUGGGGGAAUGAAGCUCUUCGGUUGUUAAAUCCUUGUCAUGUGGGAGAGAAGUAAAAAGUUAGUGCCGCAUAAGGAACGGCUGGCUAACUCUGAGCCAGCAGGCGAGGUAGUACAGAGGUCGCAAGCGUUGUUCGGAAUGACUGGGCGUAAAGCGUGGGUAGGUUGUUUCGUAAGUCGUGUGUGAAAGGCGCGGGCUCAACCCGCGGACUGCAGAUGAGACUGCCGGAAUAGAGUAAUGGAGGGGCAGCCGGAAUUCUUGGUGUAGCAGUGAAAUGCGUAGAUAUCAGGAGGAACACUAGUGGCGAAGGCGGGUUCCUGGACAUCAACUGACGGUGAGGCACGAAGGCGAGGGGAGCGAAAGGGAUUAGAUACCCCUGUAGUC
rnacentral:rRNA from 1 species